rnacentral:rRNA from 1 species
CUAAACGAGAGUUUGAUCCUGGCUCAGAAUCAACGCUGGCGGCGUGCCUCAGACAUGCAAGUCGAACGCGAAAGGCCCCUUCGGGGGCCGAGUAGAGUGGCGUCCGGGUGAGUAACACGUAGGUAAUCUACCUUCGGGUGGGGAAUAACGACCGGAAACGGUCGCUAAUACCGCAUAAUGCAGCGGCACCACAUGGUGACAGUUGUUAAAGCGGGGGAUCGCAAGACCUCGCGCCUGAAGAGGAGCCUGCGGCGGAUUAGCUAGUUGGCAGGGUAACGGCCUACCAAGGCGACGAUCCGUAGCCGGCCUGAGAGGGCGGUCGGCCACACUGGCACUGACACACGGGCCAGACUCCUACGGGAGGCAGCAGUCGGGAAUUUUGGGCAAUGGGCGAAAGCCUGACCCAGCAACGCCGCGUGAAGGAUGAAGCUUUUCGGAGUGUAAACUUCAUAAGAAUGGGACGAAUAAGGAGGGGUUAACACCCCCUUUGAUGACGGUACCAUUUGUAAGCUCCGGCUAACUCCGUGCCAGCAGCCGCGGUAAUACGGGGGGAGCAAGCGUUGUUCGGAUUUACUGGGCGUAAAGGGCGCGUAGGCGGCGCAACAAGUCACUUGUGAAAUCUCCGGGCUUAACCCGGAGCGGCCAAGUGAUACUGUCGUGCUAGAGUGCGGAAGGGGCUACUGGAAUUCUCGGUGUAGCGGUGAAAUGCGUAGAUAUCGAGAGGAACACCUGCGGCGAAGGCGGGUAGCUGGGCCGACACUGACGCUGAGGCGCGAAAGCCAGGGGAGCGAACGGGAUUAGAUACCCCGGUAGUCCUGGCCUUAAACGAUGGAUGCUUGGUGUCCGGGGUUACAUAGUCCCCGGGUGCCGGCGCUAACGCAUUAAGCAUCCCGCCUGGGGAGUACGGUCGCAAGACUGAAACUCAAAGGAAUUGACGGGGACCCGCACAAGCGGUGGAGCAUGUGGUUUAAUUCGACGCAACGCGAAGAACCUUACCUGGGCUAGAAUGCCUCUGACAACCCUGGAGACAGGGCCUUCUGGGUAAAACCAGACAGAGUGCAAGGUGCUGCAUGGCUGUCGUC